rnacentral:rRNA from 1 species
AUUGAACGCUGGCGGCAUGCCUUACACAUGCAAGUCGAACGGCAGCACGGGAGCAAUCCUGGUGGCGAGUGGCGAACGGGUGAGUAAAGUAUCGGAACGUGCCCAGUCGCGGGGGAUAACGUAGCGAAAGAGACGCCAAUACCGCAUACGAUCUAUGGAUAAAAGCGGGGGAUCGCAAGACCUCGCGCGAUUGGAGCGGCCGAUAUCAGAUUAGGUAGUUGGUGGGGUAAAGGCUCACCAAGCCGACGAUCUGUAGCUGGUCUUAGAUGACGACCAGCCACACUGGGACUGAGACACGGCCCAGACUCCUAAGGGAGGCAGCAGUGGGGAAUUUUGGACAAUGGGCGAAAGCCUGAUCCAGCCAUGCCGCGUGCAGGAUGAAGGCCUUCGGGUUGUAAACUGCUUUUGUACGGAACGAAAAGGUUUGGCCUAAUAUGCUGAGCUCAUGACGGUACCGUAAGAAUAAGCACCGGCUAACUACGUGCCAGCCGCCGCCGUAA